CCACCUAGAAACAAGGCCUGUGCGCAGAAACAAGAUGGCGGAAAUAGAAGGUUUGUUUACGUUUGGAAAAUUCGACGUCGAAGCCGCAUAAAAUGUUACUGCAAGAAAUAGAAAAGUAUUUAUUUAGAUUAUACGCUUCAAAUGACAUAAAAUUACCGGAUAAUUGGAGUUGCAGCAAAUAGUUCGGCAAAAUCUGAUGUUGUUAAUGUCUUUUACCUCUCUUCAAAGAGCAAAUGUAUCGUGUUUUUGACAGUUGUGCCCCAAAAAAAAGUCAGUAUCUGACAUGUUUUCAAAUGUCACAUUUCGAACAAAUUGUUUUUGAUUUAUUUCAGACAAAAAAAGUUCUUCGUUCGCUAAAAGUUUUUCCACGGUUUUGUAGGUGUAUGCACAAAUCGUCACAACAUCUUCUGUGGGAUAACAUAAACCACCUCUAUCGCUGACAUCAAUUAAGCUGUAGUCUAGGUUUUCAAAAGCGACGUAAGAAGCAUAGCCCGCAAUAAAUGUUAGAAUGGGCCAAGUAGAAUCUGGAAUUUCAUCUAAGUCGCUGUUGUUCACAAGAGCUUCAAAGAAAAAAGCAGAACUAUCAUAGCCUUUAAUAUCGUUAUCGUCAGCACUGGUACUAGAGUUGAGUACAUCUUGUGCAGAGAUUUGCAGCACUUGCCGAAGACUAAUUUGAUAGUGGCUUCCUGAAUAUUGUCUGUAUUUUCCAAACCGCUCCUCCAACUUAUCAGUUUGAAUUUUUCCACAAAGGAAGAAAUUAAAAUCUAGAUGAUGUAGACAAUAUUCUGAAAGUUUGAUCAGUCCAGACACAGAUUGAGAUAUGGCAUGAUGGGUUUCUUUUGUUAAUUUGCCAUCUUCAAACGUUUUCCAGUGAUCCAGCCACAAUGCCCAAACUGUCUGAGAGCUGUUACGAUCGAUUGGUUGAACACCUGAAGAACAAGUUUUACAUUUUGUCUCUCCAUCGUAGUGGGAAAAAGUGCCUUCAAGGACAGUGUAUAACCAUACUUGAGCAGAUUAUCUUUUUCUACCAGAUGUAAAGUUCUUACUGCCUCAAACCGUGCUUCCCUUUUUAUGGAAAAGUCAUCAAAAUCGGGAUAUACCAUUAUUUGGCCAUUUUUUUGGUUCAGCCAAUUGUUCCGGAUGUUUUUCAAAAUGUGCACUGUGUCAAUAAUGAAAAAAAGUGGUCGGUCAUUAUCUGCAGGGUGUUUAUAGCUCUCACAAAUUUGUGGUGGAUUUGAAAAGAAACUCAUUGCCUUCCUGUUUAUGGCGUUGUUAUCAGUGACCACAAAAACCAUGCAAAACUUCGGCCGUCAAUCUACACGCUGGUAAAAUAUGUGCAACAUCUUUAUAACUUGAUCGUAUUGCACUUAACAUGAAAACGUGAGCAGUAGUAGCACAAUCUGCGCUGUUGUAAGACUUCCCCACAACAGUACCACCUUUGUAGUCCAUAUAUGGUUUGAUAUGGAUUUCAUCCAAUAAUAUUGCAACAAUUUUGUCAUUUUCAUUUAGGAAUUGCUGUUUCAUUUUUAUAUAAUGAAGAAAGUGGGCAUUGUGCUGUUCUAAUUGUGGAUCUCCAGAAAAUUUUGAACAAACUCUUCUUAUUGUUGUUGAAGAUGGAAGUAUUAAAUUUCCUGAAUUUUGUAUAAACUUAUAACAAUGUGGCGAAAUUGAGUGUAUUAAACUAGAAAAUAAAACAGUUUCCCAUGAA